rnacentral:lncRNA from 1 species
GCCAUUUGCUACAAGGCUUGGAUUACCCACCGCUAUCUCUCCUUGGAGCUGUAUCUUCAUCACGGCCAUUUCUUCCAUCACAGAGCUCCCAUGGGACAUCUCUCAGGAAAACAAGAAGACAGGAGAGCAUGACAGCUGAGCAGAACUCAUCACGGAGAGCAGUUAAGAGUGGCUUGGUGAUUCAAGACGUGCCAUUUUAAGAAGUCAGGCUUCCAGAUCACUGCCUGGAAGACUGGUCUGGGUAGGUGUGAGAUGGUUAAAAGUGGGACUAAUCAGAUUUUCACUUCCAGAGGUUUCAGCCAGACGUGGGGCAUUGUUUGUGUAUUUCUUGUGCGUGUCUGGUGGCUCCAAGCUGCUGCAUUGAGACAUCAGAUCUCCCUAGGUGACAAUUUAGAGGGGUGUCAAAGGAGACCAGAGGGGUGGAAACAGCUUUGUGUGAGGAAAGUUAAAUAACCUGGUGCUUAUCAGCAUAGGAGAGGGAUGACAGAUGGGAGCUGUGGCAGAGGUCUAUAAAAACCUGAGCAGCAGGGAAGGGCAAGCAAGGAGCAAUUAUUCUUCCUUACAAUGUGAGAAACAGAAGACAUCAGGUGAAAGAAGUCUUAAAACAAAGGCAGGACUUGUUUGCACCACACAUAAUUCAGCUCUCGAGUCAGAGGUGCAGAUCCAAGGUAGAACUGGACAAACGUGGAUGCUGAGAAGGAGACAAAAGCUUAAAUGUCAUUAGAAUGUUUUGAGCUCAGCCCUUUUCCCCGAGCACAC